UGCCCCAUGGCUGAGUUGGUUACAGCGUCCGACUGUUAUAUAUCUUGGAUAUUCUGAAGCGUAUCUAUCGGAAGGUCGAGAGUUCGAGCCUCUCUGGGGCAG